GAAAAAGAAAAGAAAAAGAAACCUCGAACACCCAGUCUUCUUCAAGAGACUUCUCUCCUCACUAGUUUCCUCACCACAAACCCCAACAACCCUAAUCGAGAACUUUCCCUCUCCGUGGUUCUCUCUCCUCAGGCCAAAAAUGUCGCACUUCGGAAGGACAGGCCCUCCGGACAUCACCGAUACCUAUUCUCUCCUCGUUCUCAAUGUCACCUUCCGUACGACUGCGGAUGAUCUAUUCCCUUAUUUUGAUAAAUAUGGCAAGGUCGUGGAUAUCUUCAUCCCUAGAAAUCGAAGGACCGGUGACUCAAGGGGCUUUGCUUUUGUGCGGUAUAAGUAUGCUGAUGAGGCACAGAAAGCAGUGGAUAGGCUAGAUGGUAAAGUUAUAGAUGGUCGAGAGAUAGCUGUUCAGUUUGCAAAAUAUGGGCCAAAUGCGGAGAAAAUUCACAAAGGGAGAAUUAUUGAAUUGUCCUCAAGGUCAAGAAGCCGCAGUCCUCGCAGAAGGUACCGAGAUGACUACAGAGAUCGGGACUACAGAGAUCGGGAUUACAGAAGAGGGCGCGGUAGAAGUCUUGAUAGGUAUGAUCGUGAUAAGUAUGGGAGGGAAAGGGAUUAUCGUCGCCGAAGCAGGAGUCGCAGUGUUAGUCCUGACUACCAUAGGGCUCGGGGAAGAGGCCGUUAUUAUGAUGAGCAUCGAAGCCGAAGUCCUUCAAUGGAUAGUGCCUCCCCCAUUCGGCGUAGUCCCAAUCUUCACAGGAGUCCUUCACCACAAAGGUCUCCAUCUCCUAGGGGUCGAAGUCCUGAUAGGCACAGCCGUGAGGGAAGAUCUCCAACUCCUCUCAGUAUUUCAUCCAGGGGUCGGUCUGCAGAUUCUCGAAGCCAAUCCCCUUGAAAAAUUAGAUGAUGAAUGAUUAAUUUGGCUGCCUGGAAAUUCAUGGAGACAUCUUUAGUGGUGGUCUUGCAGCUGUUAUGCUGAUGUUGAUGACUCUUGAUCAUCGUACAUGUUCUUAUCAGAAUCCUAAGUGCUAGUUUUGUUAUGUACGGGGAACAAUGACUGGGGCUUCAUGGGCGGAUGUUGAAUUAUGGUCGUUGAUGCUGUUCCUAAGAUGUAGAUGGAUGAUCGGGAUAUUGAUGCUGGUUGCAGCAGUAUGCUGGUUUUAGAAGUAUGGUUGUUUUAGCAGUAUGCUGGCUGCAGAGGACUUAUAUAUGUUAACUAGUUUUCUCUGGAUGAUCUAAUCUUUUGAGGGGUUCUAGUUGCUGUGAUGGUCUAACAACAUGAACGUUUAUUUAACUUCUAGCUGAUGCUGCACAUAUGAGAUGGACCUAUGAUUCAUUGACUGCGAUGUGGAUACUGAACGUGAACUGCAAGUUCUGUAUGUGAAUACUUGAAUGCUGGUGCAAAUUUUGCUGCAGAAUAAUGAGGCAUGUGGAGAUGUUUUAGCACAUGGGCACAUGACCGUAGCUGUGAAGUGGUUGCUGAUGCCUGUUCUGUUCUCUGAUUGGUUGGUGAUUAACUUUUGCAGUAUUAGGGAAUAAAUACUGCUACUGGGCUGUUGCUGCCCACUCUAUAUUAGUUGGGGUUGGCAAUGUUGCUAUAGCUGUUGUGAGAUUGAUUGUCUCUGCCAAGCUGUGUUGCUUGCUUGCCAACAAUCAAUUCUUAAUUUAUAGUCAGUCAUAUGCAUAGUGGUAUGCUUUGUGCCUAUGGAUUUAUAGUUUUGUCUCGUUGUAACAAGUUUAAUGCUAUGAAAAUUUUGAUUCUAUA